ACAAGCGCUCGCUGUGGUUCUGGCAGCGAAGUGCGAGACUGGGCUCGCCAGGCGGAAGUGGUUGGAGACUGCGUGUUUUCCUAGAAAGUCCUCGACCUUCGUCGGGGAGAGGAGGGGAGUGAUAAAUUGGAAGGCGGACAAGCGACAAGUGCGGUACUGGAAAGACCCAAACAUACUUGGUUGUGACCUCAGGUCACAUCUCCCAAGAAGCAGUAAUGUUCCAGCAAUAAGAAAAGGACAGUUUUUUGUCUUUUGCAUGGUGAGCCUUAUAUGAAUUACAUCAAUUUUGUCACCAAUAUCCAUCAUCAGAACAUUUUGAUUCUACAUAACACAUUGCAAAUGGUCACAACAAUCAAGACUAUAUCCAUAGAUGUCCCAGAAAUAAUAUCUGACUAUACAGAGCAGCAUUACCAAGCCACCAAGAAGUCUGCCUAGUAAUGACAAUGAUAACAACAGCUAACACUUAUCAACAGAGCAGAGGAACAGAGCCACAGAUAACUGAAAACCACUUUGGCACUGAGGAGGUAUGCAGACAAGAUCUGGAAGGGAAUCUAGAAAAAUGGCAACUUUGGAAUAAUAGAUACCUUUUGUUUUCUUAUCGCUUUUAUUUUUGUCAUGAUAAAUAUUAAGAGUAAAAAGAAAAUUCACAUUGUUUGUGCCAUGGUACUCAGUCAACUUAGGUUUUACUCAAUAGCAUGUUGUUAAUUAAUCUUCCAAAUUGUUGGGGUAUUUCAUAUGAAGUAGCCCCUACCCCCACCUUGUCCUUUCCCCAGACUCCAUUCCUAGAUAAUCACUUCUGUCAAUUCCUAGAUAAUCACUUGCCUUACUGACAGAUUCAGAGGAAGCCAUCAGUUUUUUGGGCAGAAUGAAGGGACAAAUGGUGAACUGGUAUCCGGGAUGCUGCCUAGAACCCUGUCCAUUUAAGAAGACACCCAGGUGAUACGCAAUGCACAAAAAGCACUGGAACUCCCAGCAGGCAAGCACUGCAGUCUAUAAACCCUCUAUUGAGAAAGGCCAUGACAUGUCUACCAGGGACACAGAUUUGGGAGGCAGAACACAAGACAGGGUGAGGGUGAAAAGCAAUGGCUACCUGGCCACGUCAGCCAAAUCAGCUCCAAAAAUCAAUGCGAUGACAGUGGUCACAGGCAGAUCACUCUCACCUUAUAACCUGGGAUGGCACAGACCAGACAGAUUAUUUCAUUUUGUUUUUUCAUUAUUUUUAUUUACUUUUUUGGAGAGAGGGUCUCACUCCAUUGCCCAGGCUGGAGUCCAGUGGUGUGAUCAUAGCUCACUGUAACCUUGAACUCCUGGACUCAAGUGAUAAACCUGCAGCUGUCUUCCCUGAGUAGCUGGGACUACAGGUACACACCACUACACCGGGCCUCUCAUUUUGCUUAAUUUAUUUAAUUAGUCAACUAAUUUUGAGGGAGGGCAGAUUUUGGAAGUAAAGGGCAUAGAUGGUUCUGUAGUAUGCGGAAAUCUGAAGCUUUGCUAAGAUGGGAUCAACAUGAAGCAUCUGUACAUGUACAAAUUAGCAAAUGUUACCAUGACUAACAGUAAAAUGAAGAAUUAAGGAAAUUAUAAGGUUAAUUUCCUUGAAGUCUCUCAGUAGUCAUUUGUGUCUAUAGGUGAUUUUGUAUUUUACAACAUUGUAUUUUCUAAUUUCAUGAAAGGAAAGCUAACCAAAUUCGUGGAUUUUAUUUUUUGCCUCAGCCUCAAAAAGCCUUAGGGCUGAUUCAGGCCUGGUUGUAGCAAUCGGCUGUCUCAAAGGCCUCCUGCAUGUUUAAAUAGCUUCUCUCCUGUUUAUUUUGCACUGUUUUAUCCUGUAAGCUGUCUCGAGGCCCUUCCAAUAUAAGCAUGAGGAUUUAAAUCUUAAUAAAUUGAGAUUUGAAUAACAGAGGUAAUCUGGGCUUGGGGGGUCUUGAAUUAUUGGGAUAAACAUCUCUGUUUCUCAUCUGCACAUUAUGCAUGUGCUGUACACAUUGCCCCAUGACCAAGGUCAGAAAUAAUAAAAUAGUCAUAGCAGAAAUAAUACUGAUAAUAUUUAGAGUUAAAUAGCACUUUUCUGUUUGUAAGGACUUUUUUAUGUACAGGUUCUCCUUCUAUUCUUGGAAUAGUCCUAACCAGUAGAAAGAUCAGGUGUUAUACCCACUUUAAAAAUGAAGCAACUGAGUGACAAAGAGAUUAAGACACAUUCAAAACAAUAUGGACAAGUGGAGGCAAUAGGACUGGAACUCAGGUCUUCCUGAUAGCUUUCCCACAAUUUUGCCAGAUGUGUUAACAUUAUGUGUGCUAACAAUAAGACUCAACUCAGUGACAUUCCAAUUAAACUUACUGGAGAUGUCUUUUUAUAAGCUUAUGACAGGGACAUUGUAGAAGUCUGGAGUUAGCUCUUUUUUAAAAAAGAUUGCCACAGAGAUUGCUCAUGAGUUCAACUCUGGGGUUGAAA
rnacentral:lncRNA from 1 species